UACGAAUAUAAGCUUUAACCCAUUUUCUCUAAGGUAACAUUUACCUCAUAGUCUUUUACCGGUAUCUAAUAAGAAACUGAUCUGGAGUUUAAAUCACACAAUUCUAUUGGUUCCGCUGGUUCUCCUUUAAAAAUAUGAAGUAGACAUUUUGUUUUACAACCUCUAUGCUAAAAAAGCUGGCCACCAUUGCAAGUAUGUACCUACUAAUUGAAAAUGAAAUAUGAAGUAAGUAUUUAAAAAAUCAAAUUUUUUUAUUUUGGAAAUGACAAAUAUGAGAAAUUAGCGACGAUCGGAUCAGAUUCGAAUUUUUGAAUUUUUAUGUCAAAUAUUUUCAAACAAUUUUUGGAACUUAAUUUUUGAAAAUCGAAAAUUUUACCAGAUUGUUACAUUGUUACAUUGAGAAUCUACUUUAAUUUGGUGAGUACAGUUGCCUUGCCGUAGCAUCGGACGAUUUAAAAAAGAUGCUCCAAAUUGUAGCUAUUUGUACAUUUUUGCUGCAGUAACUGCAUGUUUUAAUGUCUAGCAAAACCAAGGCGAAAUUAAUUCGUGCUUCACAGCUAUGAAGUAAUUUUUGUCAAGGAGUCUUUAUUGCCCCGUUUAAUAAAGUUCUAUAACCUUAUAAUUUGCACUGUUAAAUGACAGUGAUAUUUUAAAAAACGACUGCAUGCCAAAUUUUAUAAAAAUUGGAUAAAUAUUUUUAAAAAUAAAAAAUAUAAUCUUCUGAGUUUAACAAUUUCAAUUUAUUUUUAAUCUCUGAUCCAGGUAAAGUUGUCCAGAUUUUAACUUUUUCAUUUGACCCAAGUAUAGGCAAGUCAUUUUUGGAGUCAUAAAUGAAAAGACAUUUUUGUUUAAUAGUAGUCAAUACUAAAAAUAACGAAUGUCUCACUGAAACCAAUAACCAAUAUUGCUUCAGUUUCUUAAAAAAAUCUAACGACUUGUCUUAAGUUUUUUUCAUAAAUGUCCUGUUGAAAAAUAUAAAUUUUAAUGCAAAUAUGCUUUGUAUAAUUAUUUUCUAAUGGCCUCUGUAAGCAAAAUCAUAAAUAAUAUUGACGUUUUUUAUUUUUUUCUUGUUAGUAUAAAAAUAUUUGUCUCAACCCAAUAAAUACAAUGCCAUUGCUGACACAUAUAUAUAUAUAUUUCUGCGACCUAAUGACCUGAACAAACUUCUUAAAAAAGGAAAAGUUACCGAUAUUUGGUGGUAAGUGCAAAUUACAUUCUUCUUCAUUUUUGAAUAAGUAGCCUGUUAUUAGGUCCUAAUUAGAUAACUAGAAUAAUCUAAACUGAUAGUGAUAACGGUGGCAAAUAAAAAAAGUUAUCUAAUCGAUAGACUGAUAGAAUGCUAUAAUUUUUGUUAUGUUUUAAUGUUUUUAAUGUUUUUAAUCAAUCGUAUGCCGUAUAAAAAAGGUUUUAGCAAAAAUAAAGAACAGAAAUAAUAAAAUUUCUGAGAUUUCUGAGUUAAAAUUAUUAUGUGUCACUAUUAUUUUGCACUAUCAGUAAAAGUGGAUUUAGAUUUAAUUACUGGUGACAUCAAUAACCGACUGACCAGGAACUAAUAACAAGGUUUAAAAAAAAAAACAGUGAGACAUGGCAGAUGACAUUGAAAUCAACAAACUCAAACUCAAGAAGUUGCUGGAUGCCGAAAAUGAAGAAGAAUUUAUUAAAUGUAUUAAAGAUGAUCCUUCCUUAAUCAGUUGUGAAAUACCAGGUCCACCAACAAGCGACCUAACGUUGCUACAGUAUUGUUGUAGUAAGAAUUUAAUAGAAGCUGCUAGAUUUCUCGUAAAACAAGGAGCGGAUUUGACAAAAAAUGCUGAGUAUACCAUGGCACCUUUACAAAUAGCAUGUUUUCAUGGAUGGCAUAAAUUGCUGAAAGCAUUAUUACAAGCAGAAAACGAGUCUGGCGAAGACUUUGAACUUAUGGAAGGACCUUUUGACGAGAAAAUGAAAAAAGCAGUGUGUAAAGCUAUUAUUAAUUUUAUUACAAAUUACAAGAAGAACGACGAUUAUCAAAGUUGUCUUAAAAUAUUAAAAAAAAUAGUUAAAGAGAAAAAAAUCGAUAUCGAAAAUUACAUAGAUGAUCACGGCCGCAAAAUUUCUUUCUACACCAUGACUCUUGGUUUGUAUGAUCUAUUAUUUGAACUGUCCCUAAAGAUACCAUUUUAUCCAAUUGUUCCAAGUGAAGUGGAAAAAUUUUUUGACUUAUGCAUUGACAUAGAUAAUAGCUCAUCUUAUGAACCGAAUAUUACUUUCAAAUAUGACAAUUUAUGUACUGAAGAAAACUGUACAUCAAUUAGCGAAAUGGACUAUUUCCGAAUUCUUAUUUAUGACGACAAAUAUAAAAAUUUGUUGUUGCAUCCAUUGGUAAUGUGUUUCUUACUUCUUAAGUGGCUUAAAAUUAAAUAUCGUUUUUAUAUUCACUUUGCCAUAUACAUUAUUCAGAUCGCAGUGUUUGUUACCCUCACAUUCAUAAAUCCAACUUGUAACUAUUUAACCAAUUUGUUUAAAGUUGCUGCGAUAAUGAUUAGUAGUGUUGAUGUAACAUAUGGUGUAAUAAUGUGUUGGAAAUUUUGUAAAACCCAGAAGGAAUCUAAAAACUAUUGGGUGAUAAUAAAAAUGCAUUUAUAUCACAUAUUGCUUCCUCUCGCAGUCAUCAUCUCUGUAAUAAUUUCCCUUAUAUACGAAAACAGCACUACAAAAAAACUUCUGUUUAUUCCACUUUUAAUUGCAGCUUUCAAGUUUAUCUUAUUAUCUCGGGUAAUCACAAUUUAUGGUGAAUUAUUUUUUGUUGUUUUGCGUAAUUGUGUUAAAGUCUUAGUCCUGAUGGUUCCUUUAUUUGCUAUAGUUUCCGGCAUUUAUUAUUCAACAUUUAACAGUUCACCUGAAAACAAUAGUACGAACGAUUUUGUGACGACACUGGUGACGGUAUUUUACAAUAUGUUUGUUUUGCUUGUUGGAGAGUUGCAAUUGGAACCGUCACAAGACGAACCACUUAAUAGAACCAUUUACAUGGUUUUCAUUUUACUCUUCACCAUAGUUUGUGCAAACUUGUUAAAUGCUUUAGUUAUACACGACACAAAUCUUUUAAAAAGGGAUGCUUUAAAUGUCAAUCAAAGAGAAAUAGCUCGGUACAUCCAUUUAUAUGAAAUAGUCUUCAAGGGUUUUGAUGAAACAAAUUUUAAACAAAUAAAAGGUCGUUUAAAUAAAACUAUACAAAAUGGAAAACCUUCACAAUAUAUUAAACUAAACCAAAACAUAAUUGAAAGUUUAAACACUUUAACAAUAAAAACCAAAAACAUUCCUACUUUUUACUGCGAUAUUGUUAUACAGAAUGUCGAGACUUUUACACACAAAUGCAAAAAAUGCACUAUAUAGAGUAUUACAACCAAGAGAUUUAAUGCAGACUGUAAUGAAAAAAUUCGGAUCAAAAUCGUUUUGCUUUGUCGAAUAGGAUGUGAAUCAAAUGUACUUGCAAUCACAGCUGUAUCAAGUGUUUAAUAUGUAAUAUAAUGUAGGAUUUAUUGAAUUUAUUUGACAAUAAAAAAUUUAAAGUUCAA